rnacentral:rRNA from 1 species
UACAGAGGGUGCGAGCGUUAAUCGGAAUUACUGGGCGUAAAGCGCGCGUAGGCGGCUUUGCAAGUCGGGUGUGAAAUCCCCAGGCUUAACCUGGGAACUGCAUUCGAGACUGCAUUGCUAGAGUAUGGGAGAGGGAAGUGGAAUUUCCGGUGUAGCGGUGAAAUGCGCAGAUAUCGGGAGGAACACCAAUGGCGAAGGCAGCUGCUGGGACGGUACUGACGCUGAGACGCGAAGC